GGAACACCCUUACGGGGCAAGACUUGCUUCAGUGGGGCUUUGGUGCUCACUGAGUCUGCCUCCUGAGUGUGUUCCU
rfam:Myotis brandtii contig208462, whole genome shotgun sequence.